AAGGAAUAUUGGACAAUGGGCGAAAGCCUGAUCCAGCCACGCCGCGUGCAGGAUGAAGGUCCUCUGGAUUGUAAACUGCUUUUGUUAGAGACGAAAGUGUAUGAUUGAUCAUAUUUUGACGGUAUCUGACGAAUAAGCACCGGCUAACUACGUGCCAGCAGCCGCGGUAAUACGUAGGGUGCAAGCGUUAUCCGGAUUUACUGGGUUUAAAGGGUCCGCAGGCGGUCUGUUAAGUCAGUGGUGAAAUAUCAGGGCUCAACCUUGAUGCUGCCAUUGAUACUGGCGGACUUGAGAGUAGUAGAGGUGGGCGGAAUGUAGCAUGUAGCGGUGAAAUGCGUAGAUAUGCUACAGAACACCGAUUGCGAAGGCAGCUCACUGGACUAGAUCUGACGCUAAUGGACGAAAGCGUGGGUAGCGAAC
rnacentral:rRNA from 1 species